UUUGGAUAACUGUGGUAAUCCUAGAGCUAAUACAUGCAACCAAGUCCCGACCAGUCUGACUGGGAAGGACGCUUUUAUUAGAUCAAGACCAAUCGCUCGGCUCGUCCGGGCGUAGCCUUGGUGACUCUAGGUAACACAUCAUAUCGCAUGGUCUUUGCACCGGCGACUUAUCCUUCAAAUGCCUGACUUAUCAACUGUCGAUGGUAGACUCUAUGUCUACCAUGGUUGUAACGGGUAACGGGGAAUCAGGGUUCGAUUCCGGAGAGGGAGCCUGAGAAACGGCUACCACAUCCAAGGAAGGCAGCAGGCACGCAAAUUACCCACUCCCGGCACGGGGAGGUAGUGACAAAAAAUAACGAUACGGGACUCUUAUGAGGCCCCGUAAUCGGAAUGAGUACACUUUAAAUCCUUUAACAAGGAUCCAUUGGAGGGCAAGUCUGGUGCCAGCAGCCGCGGUAAUUCCAGCUCCAAUAGCGUAUAUUAAAGUUGUUGCGGUUAAAAAGCUCGUAGUUGGUUCUGCGUGCUACGCUGUCGGUUCGCCGCCUGCCGGUGUAACUGGCAUGCCGUGGCAUGUCCUGUCGGUGGCGUGCGGGAGCCUCGUCUAGGAGACGGCCCUUGCCUAAAGCUUGGGUUCGUAGGCCGGAGGUCCAACCCGUGCGCCUUCUCUAUCCUACCUAGGUGCUCUUCACCGAGUGUCGAGGUAGGCCGACACGUUUACUUUGAACAAAUUAGAGUGCUCAAAGCAGCUGAAAUCUCUGCCUGAAUAGUGGUGCAUGGAAUAAUAAAACAGGACCUUGGUUCUAUUUUGUUGGUUCUUAGGAACACAAGGUAAUGAUCAAUACGGACAGGCGGGGGCAUUCGUAUUGCGUCCUCCGAUGAGGCGGGGCCGGGAAACCAAAGCUUUUGGGAUCGGGGGAAGUAUGGUUGCAAAGCUGAAACUUAAAGGAAUUGACGGAAGGGCACCACCAGGAGUGGAGCCUGCGGCUUAAUUUGACUCAACACGGGAAACCUCACCAGGCCAGGACAUUGGAAGGAUUGACAGAUUGAUAGCUCUUUCUUGAUUCAGUGGGUAGUGGUGCAUGGCCGUUCUUAGUUGGUGGAUCGAUUUGUCUGGUUAAUUCCGAUAACGAACGAGACUCUAGCCUAUUAACUAGGCGUUUACCGGUGUCCUCGCCACCGGCGACACUCAUUCUUCUUAAGGGGACAGGCGGCUUUUAGCCGCACGAGAUUGAGCAAUAACAGGUCUGUAAUGCCCUUAGAUGUCCUGGGCCGCACGCGCGCUACACUGAAGGAAUCAGCGUGUGCCUCCCUGGCCGAAAGGCCCGGGUAAUCCGCUGAACCUCCUGCGUGCUAGGAAUUGGGGCUUGCAAUUGUUCCCCAUGAACGAGGAAUUCCCAGUAAGCGCGAGUCAUAAGCUCGCGUUGAUUACGUCCCUGCCCUUUGUACACACCGCCCGUCGCUACUACCGAUUGAAUGAUUUAGUGAGGUCUUCGGACUGGCGGUAAUCCCUAUCGACUCGUCGGUAUCGAUGAACGCUGGAAAGAUGACCAAACUUGAUCAUUUAGAGGAAGUAAAAGUCGUAACAAGGUUUCC
rnacentral:rRNA from 1 species